AUUGAACGCUGGCGGAAUGCUUUACACAUGCAAGUCGAACGGCAGCACGGACUUCGGUCUGGUGGCGAGUGGCGAACGGGUGAGUAAUGUAUCGGAACGUGCCCAGUCGUGGGGGAUAACGUAGUGAAAAUUACGCUAAUACCGCAUACGAUCUAUGGAUGAAAGCGGGGGAUCGCAAGACCCCGCGCGAUUGGAGCGGCCGAUAUCAGAUUAGGUAGUUGGUGGGGUAAAGGCCCACCAAGCCAACGAUCUGUAGCUGGUCUGAGAGGACGACCAGCCACACUGGAACUGCGACACGGUCCAGACUCCUACGGGAGGCAGCAGUGGGGAAUUUUGGACAAUGGGCGAAAGCCUGAUCCAGCCAUUCCGCGUGCAGGAUGAAGGCCCUCGUGUUGUAAACUGCUUUUGUACAGAACGAAAAGGUUUCUACUAAUACUAGGAGCUCAUGACGGUACUGUAAGAGUAAGCACCGGCUAACUACGUGCCAGCCGCCGCCGUAA
rnacentral:rRNA from 1 species